GAUACUGUCAUUGUAGCCAUUUAUACUGCUUUAUACAGGAAAGGGGUCUACUGCAAGAUAAAGAAAACCUUCAAAAACGUUUGUGGAAUAGUUUCUGAGUAUUAAAUUGUCAUAUACAUAGUAUAAAAUAAUAAUAUUACCAACUCUAAUACUUAGAAACAACAAAUACUUGGAUGCAGCAACUCGCUGUAGUGAGCUUUUGCUGCUCCUACACUUUACUGCCAGUGUCUAUCCAGGAAUCAUAUAAUUGUUAAGACAGUUCCUUGGCUUUCUAUUGAUAUAGCUAGAUCAUCUAAACUAGCUCUAGAAAGAUUUUAAUGAGAACUUUGCUGAGAAACAUUGAAUUGACAUCAAAAAGUGUUGGUAGAAAAAUGUGUUUCAUUUACCCAAAACAUUCCCAGAGACUCAAACUACUGUAUAUUGAGGUACCAAUACAACAAGGUUAGGACACACAGUCAGUGUAUGUACAUGUACAUGU